rnacentral:tRNA from 1 species
UGGCUCCACAGGUAGGACUCGAACCUACGACCGAUCGGUUAACAGCCGAUAGCUCUACCACUGAGCUACUGUGGA